rnacentral:lncRNA from 1 species
AUAUACUAGUGCAGUAUUACCAUGAGCUUAUUGAUUAUAUUUUGAUGAAAUUGCAGCAUGAAAUGGUGUUGGUUUUUAAGAAUUUCAAAAUGCAACAGAAUCAAUAGAAAACUGAUCUGUUUAUUCAAAUAUUCCUUUCUAAAUAAUCUUAGACAUUACAGGUUGAAGUAUUUAAAUAUCAGGCUACAUAAUUGACUUAAAAUCACACAGGAUCUUAGCCUUGAUAUCAGCCAUGAUCUCAGACAUUAUUAUCACACAAUAAAUCAAAGAAAGCAAAUAAUCAGGGAUUCAAAUAUAGCAGAUUAAUAGUCCAUGUCAGCAGUCCUAAACACAUCUUUCAACAAAUGGCAAGGGGGGACAGUCCAAAAUCAAUCCAGUGUUACAUGAAUGACAAAGGUGUCUCGGAAGAAGCGAGAAAGCACAUUAAGGACUUGAUAACUGAAACAUGGAAGGAGUUAAAUGCAGAGAGGCUGGCUAGCUGUAGACUUUUCACAUGUUGAAUGGAUGAUAACUAGCAAAAACUGACAUGGGCGAUUGACAAUCUUCACAUGGUUUCAAGCCACGUUAAUGUAUAUGAAAAUGGCAGUUGUGUUCUUCUUGCAAACACCAUCUUUUGAUACUCAUUUUGCCGUAUUAAGUCUGAGUUUGCAAGAACACAACUGCCAUUUUCACAUUAUAAACUCGCAAACGCUUCUCGCCGUAUGCAGAUUUACUUUCACAAAAGUAGCCAAAUGCACUGAACUCACAAGUUGAGACGCAUCACACAACUAUCAACUUUCCCUUGCUAUACAAUACAAUCUGAUCACGGCAUAAACCCCAAAGUGUUAAGUGUCUGAUAAUAUUCCCCAACCAGUUUUGACACUAAGAUAAACCCUCAAUACAUGACACUAAGAUAAACAUUUUAUGUUGAUGUUGCUCAUGGAUUGCUGUAUAUAUAACAAACUCUAGUGGUCUCUUUCUCUGCAAGUUUUCUGUAUUGUAUUCUCUACAUUUUCUUGAGCAUAUACAAUUUAUAUUUGUCAACAAUUUCCUCACAAUCCACUCAAACAUGUCUGCAUUACGCAACUUAUUGAAUGUUGCUGUGAAUGUGCAAAGUGCACAAGGCAGGCCCCUGACUAUAACUUUCAGUGACUCAAUUUUGAAGGGGGAAAAUGUUGCAAUAAGAGUUGAGCUGAGCAAUGGCUGUGUAGGAUGGGGAGAGGCUCAACUCUUAUUGCAACAUUUUCCCCCUUCAUAAUUGAGUCA